rnacentral:rRNA from 1 species
UACGGAGGGUGCAAGCGUUAAUCGGAAUUACUGGGCGUAAAGCGCACGCAGGUGGCUGAGUCAGUCGAUUGUGAAAGCCCUGGGCUUAACCUGGGAAUUGCAGUCGAUACUACUCAGCUAGAGUAUGGGAGAGGGUAGUGGAAUUCCCGGUGUAGCAGUGAAAUGCGUAGAUAUCGAGAGGAACACCAGUGGCGAAGGCGAGUCCCUGGACAACUCCUGACACUGAGGCACGAAAGCUAGGGGAGCAAACAGG